CUCAGCACCGUUAAAGCAAUCAUCUAUAUUGGAACCAGAGAAGUCCACAUACACUUCCCCUCUGAGAAGGUACACCGCUAUUUUACUGACCCUAACUAUAUACUUGAAGACUCUAAGCAGGCCAGGACAAGAAGAAGACAACGGAACCGCAACUAGAGGAGGCAAAUCAUCAAGGACGGACGGGCAGACUACGAAGGAGAAGUGGUAAGGUCUGAAGACAUACAGCUUGAACAGAACUGUCUUGAGGAGACCGUAGCACCAAGUUAGGUGUGGAGAGAAAAGAUAGUUAUACACGAAGAGGAGGCGCCGCCGGAACCACUGACUACGCCAUCCAGCGAAUCCCAGGAUGACUGAGAAAACGCAGAGUCCCGUUCGGAGGACUUAAAAACACCGAACGCCUUGCCAAGAGGUAAACUUGGUAGUUGUCCUUUUCAUUUCAAUUAUUUAAAAUAGUUUGCUUAGUUAAUCAGGUUCAUAUCAUCUUGAAAAGAAAAUAAAAAUGUUAAAAAUAGUAAGCCCCAUGUGAGUAUGCUCAUGGAGUAAAACCCAUAUGUACAUUCACUGUGGUGGCGUAAAAAUAAAAUAAAUAUAUUCCUGUCAUAUAAAAAUGAAAAUAUAAAAGUAAAUUUAUGAUCCUACCAAAGAGAGUAAUAUUUAUUAGAGGAAGCUCAAAAUGAUAACGGCUAAGAGAUUUUAUGCUAACACUGGAGGACAUCCACAAAGCUUUGUUGUCUAUUUGAGCUCCACAAAAUUCAAGGAUCAAAGAAGACUAGCAGACGGAGGACAUCCUAUAUCGCUGUCAGGGUGCUGCCGACAUUCAAAUACACCUUCGCCACCUGCUAGCUAUAUCAGAAGAAAUUACAUUAAAAUCCAGCAUGGGGGAGAGCACCCCCAUUUAUCCAGCUAAGUGUUUAUAUUCACGUUUAUACUUUACUCAAACAAUAAAAAGAUGCAUAAUCAUAAAAACUCAAAUAAAGAUUUUGUGCUUAUAUAUAUAUCUUUGCUUAGUUUGCUAAAUAAAUAAAUAAAUAAAGUUUGCUAUGAACCCUCAUGAUCAGUGUUGGGUAUUCUUAACAUCAUUACCAAAAGUAGACUAAGUUCUCUAAAUCUAGUAACGGUGCCAAAAAUGCCAAACCUAUCCCUCAUACCACUUAUGCCAAGUUGUCAUCCCCAGCAUGAUAUAAGAGACGCGGUAUUGAAAUAUGCAAUUGCUCUUCUAAAUAAAUAAUGAAUGGGAUCUGCAAGCGCACAGAUUAAUACUGAUGCAGCAUUUUAACCGGGAAGUAUUCCAGGUAUCGUUAUUUAUAUUUUUACCACUGGGAAGGGAUUAACAAUCAUCAAUAUUGAUUACAGAAUAGAAUAUGAGAUUGAGCAUCUAUCAUUGCAUGUAUAAUUGAGAACAUUAUAUCUAACUCUUCAUACAGGGAUAAGUGUCACAUAAAAGAUAUAUGAAGUAAUAAUAGUGACAAGGAUAACUAAUCUGAUCU
rnacentral:lncRNA from 1 species